rnacentral:rRNA from 1 species
AGCGAACGCCGGCGUCAGGCUUAACACAUGCAAGUCGAGCGCCCCGCAAGGGGAGCGGCAGACGGGUGAGUAACGCGUGGGACUCUACCCAUCCCUACGGAAUGGCUCCGGGAAACGGGAAUUAAUACCGUAUACGCCCUACGGGGGCAAGAUUUAUCGGGGCUGGAUGAGCUCGCGGUGGAUUAGCUAGGUGGUGGGGUAAAGGCCUACCAAGGCGACGAUCCAUAGCUGGUCGGAGAGGAUGAUCAGGCGCAGUGGGACUGAGACACGGCCCAAGCUCCUACGCGAGGGAGCAGUGGGGAAGAUUGGAGAAGGGGGGCGACCCUGAGCCAGCCCUGCCGCGUGGGGGAUGAAGGCCUUAGGGUUGUAAAGCUCUUUCACCGGGGAAGAUAAUGACGGUACCCGGAGAAGAAGCCCCGGCUAACUUCGUGCCAGCCGCCGCCGUAACAC